GCUGCCAUGGCUCCGCGGCGUCCGGACGGGGCCACCCCGGGACCGGGCUUUUAUAGAGCGACGGAGGCUUUCCUGGAAAUCACGUGGGGAAACGAAACUGAAACCGUCGCCGGUGAGAGGGAGCGGCAGGGAGGCUGCGGGUUCGCAGCUGCGUGGUGCGGGGAUCCCGCUUCAGCGCCGCGCCUCCAGGACGAAGAUGAAAAACCAUGGUUAUGGAGGGGCACUAAGCACCUGGAGCCACCAGAGCCAAGGCCUGGACAGGGACAAAGUGACACCACACAGGACAUAAGGGAGAAGAGCCCAGCAGAGGACCCAAUGCAAAAGUCAUGGGAGAAAUCCAGAGCAAGAGCAGCACCACAGCACUACACACAUCACAGACAUCUACCAGACUCAGAGACCAUCUUUGCAGAUUCCUUCCCAGAUACAAGGAAAAAAUCAUUAAAAAAAAAGGAAAGUGAUUCACAUAGCAAAGUGACAAGGAACAUAGCAGCUACAGAACGACUUCUUCUAAGAGAAAAAGGACACAUCGAGGAAAAAAGCACUCAACAUUCGGGUUUUGAGAAAUACCCUAACCCAAGAAUGCUGAAACAGAGGUGGUUUUUUUUUUCCAAACAUUAAAAACAUGGAUUAUUAUUUUUUUUUAAAUUAACUUAAAUACACAACUGAAACACAAACACCAAGCAAGCGCCUGGAGAAACAAACGAAAAGAAGGAAUGGAAGGUGAAUUUGACUCGUUUAAUUUAAACACUGAGGUUGGGUGGAUUGCACCACAUGGAAUAAAUAAUGGAGAAGAUCACGGUGAGGUUGUUGAUCUUGUACUUAACAUGAUUUACCAAGGAUUAACAGCACAGCCCAAGAGAGUACUUAAUGAGAAGCCCUCUGACAAGUGAUUGCAGUUGGGCAGAAUCCCUUUGGCAGAGUGGGUUGUGGAGCAGGGAAAUGCCCCCACCACCCAACAACGAACACUUCCCCAAGGGCGAGAGGGAUGAUCAGUUUCUGGGAUUGCAAUCCUGCAGUCCCACCUGCACAACAGCUCCUUGCUCAGGGCAUGGAACCUCCUUGACAGCAGCUGGCUGCAGGCACACCCAGUCAAACAACAACACAAAAGCAGACCUUGUCCUUUCACCUUGCAAGAGCAAACACACAGGCUUCAUAGCACAGCUGCUGUACCUUGGACCCUAUGGAAACAGACCAGGCUCCUCCUUUCAUGUCCUGGGGCCAAGCCAGGAAACACAGAACCAACUGUGUACACAGCUAACCAUACACCUGCUACAGGCAUCACCUCGGGGUGGGCAGGCUGAAGGAAUGUAAGUGGUUUCUUUUUGUUUGGUUCUUUUCCCUCCCCACAAUCCCCGCAUUAAAAAAUAAAAUAAAAUA